GUCGAGGGGUAUUUAUCUUCGGAUAGAGAGACCGGCGCACGGGUGCGUAACGCGUAUGCAAUCUACCUUUUACAGAGGGAUAGCCCAGAGAAAUUUGGAUUAAUACCUCAUAGUAUAGCUGAAUCGCAUGAUUCUACUAUUAAAGUCACAACGGUAAAAGAUGAGCAUGCGUCCCAUUAGCUAGUUGGUAAGGUAACGGCUUACCAAGGCUACGAUGGGUAGGGGUCCUGAGAGGGAGAUCCCCCACACUGGUACUGAGACACGGACCAGACUCCUACGGGAGGCAGCAGUGAGGAAUAUUGGACAAUGGGCGCAAGCCUGAUCCAGCCAUGCCGCGUGCAGGAUGACGGUCCUAUGGAUUGUAAACUGCUUUUAUACGAGAAGAAACACUGCUUCGUGAAGCAGCUUGACGGUAUCGUAAGAAUAAGGAUCGGCUAACUCCGUGCCAGCAGCCGCGGUAAUACGGAGGAUCCAAGCGUUAUCCGGAAUCAUUGGGUUUAAAGGGUCCGUAGGCGGUUUAAUAAGUCAGUGGUGAAAGCCCAUCGCUCAACGGUGGAACGGCCAUUGAUACUGUUAAACUUGAAUUAUUAGGAAGUAACUAGAAUAUGUAGUGUAGCGGUGAAAUGCUUAGAGAUUACAUGGAAUACCAAUUGCGAAGGCAGGUUACUACUAAUGGAUUGACGCUGAUGGACGAAAGCGUGGGUAGCGAACAGGAUUAGAUACCCUGGUAGUCCACGCCGUAAACGAUGGAUACUAGCUGUUGGGUGCAAACUCAGUGGCUAAGCG
rnacentral:rRNA from 1 species